rnacentral:rRNA from 1 species
AGAGUUUGAUCCUGGCUCAGAAUGAACGCUGGCGGCGUGCUUAACACAUGCAAGUCGAACGAGAAAGCGAACUUUGGUUCGUGAGUAGAGUGGCGCACGGGUGAGUAAUACGUAGAUAAUCUACCCUUGAAUUUGGGAUAACAUCGCGAAAGUGGUGCUAAUACCGGAUAAUAUUUAUACGACUUCGGUUUUGUAAAUCAAAGAUGGCCUCUUCUUGAAAGCUAUUGUUUGAAGAUGAGUCUACGCACCAUUAGCUUGUUGGUGGGGUAAAGGCCUACCAAGGCGACGAUGGUUAGCUGGUCUGAGAGGAUGAUCAGCCACACUGGAACUGACACACGGUCCAGACUCCUACGGGAGGCAGCAGUGAGGAAUUUUGCGCAAUGGGGGAAACCCUGACGCAGCAACGCCGCGCGAGUGAUGAAGGCUCUUGGGUCGUAAAACUCUGUCAGUAGGGAAGAAGUUAUGUAUAAUUAAUACUUAUAUGUAUUGACGGUACCUACAAAGGAAGCACCGGCUAACUCCGUGCCAGCAGCCGCGGUAAUACGGGGGGUGCAAGCGUUAUUCGGAAUUAUUGGGCGUAAAGCGAGUGUAGGCGGUUUGUUAAGUCAGAUGUGAAAGCCCGGGGCUCAACCCCGGAAGUGCAUUUGAAACUGGCAGACUCGAGUAUGGGAGAGGAAAGUGGAAUUCCUGGUGUAGAGGUGAAAUUCGUAGAUAUCAGGAGGAACACCGGUGGCGAAGGCGACUUUCUGGACCAAUACUGACGCUCAGACUCGAAGGCGUGGGGAGCAAACAGGAUUAGAUACCCUGGUAGUCCACGCAGUAAACGUUGACAACUGGGUGUCGCGGGUAUUGGCCCCUGCGGUGCCGGAGCUAACGCAUUAAGUUGUCCGCCUGGGGAGUACGAUCGCAAGAUUAAAACUCAAAGGAAUUGACGGGGGCCCGCACAAGCUGAGGAACAUGUGGUUUAAUUCGAUGAUACGCGAGGAACCUUACCUGGGCUUAAAUGCAGAACGACGUACCGGGAAACUGGUAUUCCCUUCGGGGCGGACUGCAAGGUGCUGCAUGGCUGUCGUCAGCUCGUGCCGUGAGGUGUCGGGUUAAGUCCCACAACGAGCGCAACCCCUAUCGUUAGUUGCCAGCGGAUAAUGCCGGGGACUCUAACGAAACUGCCAGUGUAAACUGUGAGGAAGGUGGGGAUGACGUCAAGUCAGCACGGCCCUUAUGUCCAGGGCUACACACGUGUUACAAUGGCCGGAACAGAGGGCAGCUACCUGGUGACAGGAUGCAAAUCUCAAAAUCCGGUCUCAGUUCGGAUCGAAGUCUGCAACUCGACUUCGUGAAGGUGGAUUCGCUAGUAAUCGCGCAUCAGCAACGGCGCGGUGAAUACGUUCCCGGGCCUUGUACACACCGCCCGUCAAGCCAUGGAAGCUGGGGGUACCUGAAGUCUGCAACCGCAAGGAGCGGCCUAGGGUAAAACUAGUGACUGGGGCUAAGUCGUAACAAGGUA